rnacentral:ncRNA from 1 species
AAAAAGACUAUGAAGAAGAGGAGUACAUGGUAUUCGCCAAAAAGAGAGGAAAGUCCGCGGCUGAAAGGCUUUCUUGGAAAGAAAUCAUGGAAGGUAGCUUCUGAGUUUCUAAGUUGAAAUAUCAGUAGACUUAGACGGAUAUUCCGUUAAAAUAAAUGAGUGCCAGAAAUUUCUGGAAAUAAGGUGGUACCGCGAAACAAAGCCCUUCGUCCUUAAC